AUGAACGCUAGCUACAGGCUUAACACAUGCAAGUCGAGGGGCAUCAGGAAGAAAGCUUGCUUUCUUUGCUGGCGACCGGCGCACGGGUGAGUAACACGUAUCCAACCUGCCCUUUACUCGGGGAUAGCCUUUCGAAAGAAAGAUUAAUACCCGAUGGCAUAAUGAUUCCGCAUGGUUUCAUUAUUAAAGGAUUCCGGUAAAGGAUGGGGAUGCGUUCCAUUAGGUUGUUGGUGAGGUAACGGCUCACCAAGCCUUCGAUGGAUAGGGGUUCUGAGAGGAAGGUCCCCCACAUUGGAACUGAGACACGGUCCAAACUCCUACGGGAGGCAGCAGUGAGGAAUAUUGGUCAAUGGGCGCUAGCCUGAACCAGCCAAGUAGCGUGAAGGAUGAAGGCUCUAUGGGUCGUAAACUUCUUUUAUAUAAGAAUAAAGUGCAGUAUGUAUACUGUUUUGUAUGUAUUAUAUGAAUAAGGAUCGGCUAACUCCGUGCCAGCAGCCGCGGUAAUACGGAGGAUCCGAGCGUUAUCCGGAUUUAUUGGGUUUAAAGGGAGCGUAGGUGUACUGGUAAGUCAGUUGUGAAAGUUUGCGGCUCAACCGUAAAAUUGCAGUUGAUACUGUCAGUCUUGAGUACAGUAGAGGUGGGCGGAAUUCGUGGUGUAGCGGUGAAAUGCUUAGAUAUCACGAAGAACUCCGAUUGCGAAGGCAGCUCACUGGACUGCAACUGACACUGAUGCUCGAAAGUGUGGGUAUCAAACAGGAUUAGAUACCCUGGUAGUCCACACAGUAAACGAUGAAUACUCGCUGUUUGCGAUAUACAGUAAGCGGCCAAGCGAAAGCAUUAAGUAUUCCACCUGGGGAGUACGCCGGCAACGGUGAAACUCAAAGGAAUUGACGGGGGCCCGCACAAGCGGAGGAACAUGUGGUUUAAUUCGAUGAUACGCGAGGAACCUUACCCGGGCUUAAAUUGCAGUGGAAUGAUGUGGAAACAUGUCAGUGAGCAAUCACCGCUGUGAAGGUGCUGCAUGGUUGUCGUCAGCUCGUGCCGUGAGGUGUCGGCUUAAGUGCCAUAACGAGCGCAACCCUUAUCUUUAGUUACUAACAGGUCAUGCUGAGGACUCUGGAGAGACUGCCGUCGUAAGAUGUGAGGAAGGUGGGGAUGACGUCAAAUCAGCACGGCCCUUACGUCCGGGGCUACACACGUGUUACAAUGGGGGGUACAGAAGGCAGCUACCUGGUGACAGGAUGCUAAUCCCAAAAGCCUCUCUCAGUUCGGAUCGAAGUCUGCAACCCGACUUCGUGAAGCUGGAUUCGCUAGUAAUCGCGCAUCAGCCACGGCGCGGUGAAUACGUUCCCGGGCCUUGUACACACCGCCCGUCAAGCCAUGGGAGCCGGGGGUACCUGAAGUACGUAACCGCAAGGAUCGUCCUAGGGUAAAACUGGUGACUGGGGCU
rnacentral:rRNA from 1 species